rnacentral:rRNA from 1 species
GACGAACGCUGGCGGCGUGCCUAAUACAUGCAAGUCGAGCGGACAGAUGGGAGCUUGCUCCCUGAUGUCAGCGGCGGACGGGUGAGUAACACGUGGGUAACCUGCCUGUAAGACUGGGAUAACUCCGGGAAACCGGGGCUAAUACCGGAUGCUUGAUUGAACCGCAUGGUUCAAUUAUAAAAGGUGGCUUUUAGCUACCACUUACAGAUGGACCCGCGGCGCAUUAGCUAGUUGGUGAGGUAACGGCUCACCAAGGCAACGAUGCGUAGCCGACCUGAGAGGGUGAUCGGCCACACUGGGACUGAGACACGGCCCAGACUCCUACGGGAGGCAGCAGUAGGGAAUCUUCCGCAAUGGACGAAAGUCUGACGGAGCAACGCCGCGUGAGUGAUGAAGGUUUUCGGAUCGUAAAACUACUGUUGUUAGGGAAGAACAAGUACCGUUCGAAUAGGGCGGUACCUUGACGGUACCUAACCAGAAAGCCACGGCUAAC